GUACUCUCACACUCCCGAUCUUUGGAUUGGGAGCGGUGGACUUGGGUGUUGCUGCUUACUGUGGCUCACCUCAAAUGGAUUCGUGCACCUCUUGGUUGGACAUAGUACGGCGUGAUAAGUGUCUUCGCCGGCACCUCACUAGAGGGUGGCUGAUCAGGAGCUCUGUGCUUCAAACCGUCUUCGGACAACAUCUGACA
rnacentral:misc_RNA from 1 species